UCUUUUUUUUGUUGGUUUGUGGAUAUAUGUAAUUUGUCUUUUAGUGUAUUUUUACAAGGGUGUUGACUCGAACCAAUUUGAAACAAAAAAAAAUGUUUUCUAAACUAUAUAUUUUUUAUUUUUAAAAUUUAAUUGUAAAUUAAAUAUUUGAUAAUCGUUUUCGUUUCUCAAUUUUAAAUUUGAAGAAACAUUCCUAAAGAAAAGAAAAUAUCUCUUAUCCAUUUAUGACUCCCUAAACAUAACUGAUUGUGUUAAGUCGUUUUGAUGGUUGAGAGACCCGUCCAAUUCAAUUACGUAUCACCCAACCUCAUUUUUAUGUAUUGUUUUUCUUUUUCAAAAUUAAUUCUUCUUUUUAUAUUUUAUAUAUUAUUUAAGUUUUGAAUUUUAGAUUUUUCAAUAGAUUGAUUUAUAUAUUAUUUAAUUUAAAAUUUUAAAAUUUUCAUAUAAAUAUGUAUAUAUUAUUGUCCUUGUGAAUUUUAAAAUUAUAUAUAUAUAUUCUUUCCAUAUAUAUUUUCUGUUUUGAAUUUUAGAUUUCACAAUUAUUUUCUGCUUAGAACAUUUUAGAUGUUUGCAAUGUAUAAAUGAUAUUUUGUUCAUUUAGCUUUAUUUAUAUAUAUAUAUAACCUUAUAUCUAUUAGUAAGAUGAUAGUAGCCUGACAAUUUAUUAGACACUAACACUUCUUUUUUAUAUAUGUAUUCGAAUAUUUAUUUGAAAGAUUUUUGGAAGUGGAGUAUGAUGAAAGUGUUAAUUAAAGAAUAUGCGAGCACUAGUUGUGAUAUUUUUUAAUCCACUCUCUAUCAUAUCUUUCUCUUAAAAAUAUCACUUCUUUUUUUAUGGAUAUAGGAAUUUUAAAUUCUCUAUCGCCAUGUAACAUUUUGAAAUUAGACUUUUCAUUUAACCCAUAAUGUUAUUUGAAUAUUUAUAUUUUCCAUUACAGCUUUGGAUCUGAUUGGCAACAAAGAAGUGAGCACAAUUCUUGGGGCAUUUACUUUGCAAGAAAUGCAAUUAAUGUCCGAAAUUAACAAAAACUUCAUUGAUAUUUCCAUAAUAUCCCUACCAAUUGCUGCUUCUCUUCCUCCUCAUAAUAAUAAUAAUCCACUCCCACUUCCUUCCUUUAUUCGAAUGGCUCACAACAUCACAUUUCACAUCCAAUGCACAGCCGCCAUUGUCGCCCAUUUCCAAUGGCAUAAAGUUACUCUCAUCUAUGACAAUACAGACGACAUGUCCUUCAACAUGGAAGCUUUGACUCUCCUCUCCAACCAACUUGGAGAUUUCAAUAUAGAGAUUGACCAAAUCUCAUCCUUCUCUUCUUCAUAUUCAGAAUCUAUGAUUGAGGAAAAGCUCAAAAGCCUUGUGGGCCGUGAGAGGAACCAGGUUUUCAUUUUGGUGCAAUUUUCUAUCGAAUUGGCCAAACUCCUUUUUCACAAAGCAAAUAAAAUGAAUAUGAUGGAAAAUGGAUUUGUUUGGAUCGUUGGAGAUGAGAUAUCAAGUCAUCUUGAUUCUUUGGAUUCAUCAACUUUUAAUGACAUGCAAGGUGUCAUUGGUUUUAGAACUUAUUUUGAUCAUAACAAAAAUUCUUUCAAGAAAUUUAGAAGCAAAUUCCAUAGAAAGUAUGUUUUGGAAUAUCAUGAAAAUGAAGAGGAGGAGAUGAAAAAUACGGAGCCCACCAUCUUUGCUCUUAGAGCUUACGAUGCAGGAUGGGCUGUGGCACUUGCGAUGCAUAAAUUGCAAGCAAAUUUUAGCAACAAACAAUUGUUGAAGGAAAUUUUAAGGAGUAAAUUUGAAGGGCUUAGUGGGAAAAUAGGAUUCAAGAAUGGUGUCUUAAUGGAACCACCCACUUUUGAAAUUAUUUAUGUGGUGGGUAAGAGUUACAAAGAGAUAGGAUUUUGGAGAGAAAAGGUUGGAUUUUUCAUCAAUUUGAAUGAAAAUAAUGAUCAAGAAAUCAGUAGUAGCAUUAUUAUUGAUGAAGGAAGAAGUAGAAGUGAUAAUAAUAAUAAUAAUAAUAAUAAUAAUAAUAAUAAUAAUGUUGUUUUGAAAUUACCAAGAUUUGUUUUGUGGGAAGUAAAUUAUGCAGAAACAGGAGUAGUGAAAGGAAGGACGAUUAAUAUUGAUAAUUCAAAUUCCGGAGGAAUGGGAAGGACAUUAAGAAUUGGUAUUCCGGCCAACAAUACAUUCCGAGAAUUUGUUAAAGUUUCUUACGACCACAUAAAUGCAAUAUACAUUUCUGGAUUUUCCAUUAGUGUAUUUGAAGCUGUCGUAAAGAAUCUGCCUUAUUCAUUGCCGUAUCAGUUGAUCCCAAUCAAUGGUUCUUAUGAUGGAUUGGUAAAGCAAGUCUACACAAGGGUAAGUACGAUAUAGAUAAUAUAUAUAUAUAUAUAUUGGAUUAUUGCAUGUGAUUCUUGCAUCUAUUCAUUGUAUCCUUCUUUGUAUAUAUAACAAAAAAGGUGAUGUAUUUAUAUGAACAAAUUAUAUAUAUGGUGGUUUUUAUUAGGGUCUGGAUGCCGCGGUGGGAGAUAUCGGAAUAUUUGCGGACCGAUUUAAAUAUGUUGAUUUCACAGAGCCAUAUAUGAUGGGUGGGCUUGUGAUGAUAGUGAAAGAGAAGACAAGAAAUUGGAAAGAAAUAUGGAUAUUCAUGAAAACAUUUACAACACUAAUGUGGAUCAUUUUGCCAAUCUUCCAUCUUGUUAUAAUGUCUGUUGUUUGGAUUGUUAAGGAUCCAAAGGAUGGAGAAUUAUCAGGAGUUUCAGAAAUGAUAUGGUUUGCCGUAACUGUCAUCUUUUUUGCUCACAGUAAGAAUUUUAAAGUCAUGUUUGAUAAUCAUUUUAGUGUCUUUUCACUUCUCAUUUUAGAAAACAAAUUUUUAUGAGUGGAUGCAGGAAAAGAAGUGAAAGGUAAUUUAGCAAGGUUGGUGUUGGGGACAUGGUUGUUUGUAAUUCUUGUGGUAACUUCAAGUUUUACUGCAAGUCUUACAUCUAUGAUGACGGUUUCAAGAUUUGCACCAUCCGUUGUUGAUGUUGAAACAUUAAGGCAAAUGAAUGCAACAGUGGGGUGCAACUAUCAUUCUUUCAUUCCGAGAUAUUUGAAUGAUACAUUGAAAAUUCCACGUAUAAAUAUUAAGAACUUUGUUGGGAUUGACGAUUAUCCAAAGGCAUUUGACAAUGGAGAAAUUGAAGCAGCUUUCUUCAUCACUCCACAUGCUAAGGUCUUUCUUGCUAGGUACUGCAAAGGCUACAUCACUGCAGCUACUUUCAAUCUCGGUGGCAUUGGUUUUGUAAGUUCUCAACUAAUAAUCUACUUCCAGAUGUUUUGCAGUUUUUAGAUUUAAGUUUUGUUUCGAUUUGUUUUACAAGAUUUCAAGAUUUAUACUUUUAAUAAGUUUGAUUUUCUCACUGAAAUACUCCUGGUAUGAAUUAAACCCAAAACUUUAAAAAUCAGAAGGAUUUAAAAAAAAAUAGUUAAAGGUGCUAUCUGAGCUGCAUAUAUUUUUUGUGCGAGCAGCUUAACCAGUUAUAAUAUGUCAUGUAGCCAAAAAAAUCUUUUAAAAAAAUUUAAUUGACUUUUUUUUUCGUUUGUUGGGAUAAAAUAUGAGCUACAAGCUGCACUUAACCAUUGUUUUCUUUUCUUUUAUGAUGUGGAUAGAAAGACACGGUAGUCUAGCACUACACUUGGUAUUUGGUAAUAAUAGGAAAUUUUGUUAUAUGUUGCAGGCUUUUCGGAAAGGGUCAAGUCUAGCAGUGGAUGUAUCGACAUCCAUCGUGGAACUUAUAGAGAGAAGAGAGAUGCCACAGUUAGAAACAAUGUUGUUGUCAACCUUCAAUUGUUCUUCAGGGAGCCAAGUUGAUGGGUCUACAAGUUUGGGGCCUUGGCCUUUCGCAGGUUUAUUCAUCAUUUCAGCAAGUGUUGCUGCUGGAUCACUUCUAUAUUUUUGUAUAUGCGGACCAAAUCACGAUAACAAAGACAAUAAUGCAGCAGCUGGAGAAGUCCACAAUGGCAAUAACAAUGCAGCUGGACAGGAACCCAUGGCCAAUGGCAAUAACAAUGCAGCUGGACAAUUCCAACCCAGGGCCAAUCGCAAUGAUUAAGAAUUAUCAUUUUUGUAUUUUAUUUUGUUUUGAAUAAUUCUUUUUCUCUUAUUUCGUAUCGGUAUAUCGUUGUAAUUUUUAAACUUCAAUCAUAUAAGUUUAUAUACUAUGUAGUCUCUAACUUUGGAUAUAAAACCUCUAUACUCUGCCAUCUCGAAAUCUUCAUUGAUUUACUAAACAAACAUCGAUCUCUCCACAAUGAGAAUACAUUUUUUUGUUUUACUUGACCAACAUAUAUUUACAUGCAGGAUAGAAUAUUGGUAUAAAACUAGUUCAUAAAUCUUUUCCAGAUUUGACAUUCUUUCGAGAUUGUUAUUUAAUAUUUGGAAAGACGACUUUUCAUGUAACAUCCUUUUUACUUAUUUUUCAUGGUAGGUGUACAACAAAAACCUUAAAAAUUGAAAAGCUAAACACACCAAACCAAAUAGAUUUAUUGGAAAAACAAUUAAGAUAUAUUAGUGCACCUCCUGAUCUUGUUCUCCUGCUUGUUACUUAACCUAUCAGUGCACCAAGACUAAUCUCUCAUAUAUUCAAAAAAAAAAAAAAAAGAACAGAACAAUGAGGUUGGGAAAAAGGCUCAAAAUCAAGAACCAAACCAACAAUAAACCCAACUUAAUAACAAUUUGAUCCAUUUUUUUCACUUGCUGGACAUCGGUUUUGGUUCCUUUUCUACAUAAAACCAAUUUGUUUUGUUUUGUUUUUUGGUUGGACUCAAAAUCCAGAAAAUCGAACCUACCUGAUAUUGCUUACUGAGUAUAGUUAGUUGUAGACUCAUUUAAUACUCCAAAGAUUUUGGGUUCUCCCAACUAUCUUUCUAAUAUAAUGUAUAUAUAUCCAUCAAGAUGGAAGUGUGUCUCUUUCAAUUCAUCUCAUUCUUGAAUUAGAGUUUUUUAUUGAACAAGUGAAUAUUAUGUUUAGAUUUCUUAAACUUUGAUAUCAAAUUUAUCUAAGUACGAAUUAGUUCGAUCAAAGACAAACAUCUUUAUUAAUUCGUCAUGUAAAUAUUUAUGAAUAUGGAAAGAUUUAUAUUAGAAGACGAUAACAUGACAAAUACACACAACAAUAAACCAAAGAGAGGAGCAAUAUAUAUAUAUAUAUAGUAAGAGUUGAUCAUGCGUCCUCCAAGAACAAACUCUUUAUUCUAGUUUUUCUUAAUGAGUACGUACUAGAUAUAUAAUAUGAUGAUAACAUAGAAAAGUACAUAAAUUUUACAACUUCUUCAUUUCUUGGUCUUGUUGAUUACUCUGUCAGCAUACUCAAGAACUUUAUCAAGUUCAUCCAAACAAAUAAAGCCAUCUCCAUUAGCAUCAGCCAAAUUCAAAGCAUAGUUAGCUUUGCUAAAUGAAUUGAAGGAACCACACAUGUUAAAAGCUUUUACUAGCUCACUUCUAGUGAGAUAACCAUCACCAUCAAUAUCAUGCUCUAAGAAAAUCUCCCUCAUUUCAUCUUUACUAAGCCUCAUCUUGUACGGCCCACAGGACGCCUUCUCAUCAGGAAUAUUAACCUUAGGUUCAACUUUUUGAGGCUUAAUUUGUUGGUGAUGGUGAGAAGCAGCUUGCUCAAUGAUCAAAGCAGUUAGCUCAUCUUUGGUCAGGAUUGAAUCACCAUUCUUGUCAUACUUUUUUAUCAAAUUACUUGCUUCUUGUUCACUCAUGUAAUUACCUUGGGCUGGGACAGGCUGAUCCUUAAGAGGAUUUGUAGACAUUGUUGAAAACUAUGUGGGUUGUGUUUUGGGAUUUGAUGUGGAGUUUGGAGGUGAUAGAAUUAAAUUAAUGUCUUGAAAGGAUUAACACACUUUAUAUAUACUAACUUUAGAAGCAUAAGUAUUUUUUUUUUCAUGUACAAAUUGGAAUCUUAUUCCUAAUUUCCUCUACUCCAAAAACAAAAGAUUAAAAAAAAAAGAACUUAUUCCUUACCUAAUAAAUCUCUUUAUUCAUUAAGAUAUAUAUAAAGUUCCUUUUUUUAAAAAAAAAAUUAUGGUUAGCAAAGGAAAAUUAUGGUUUAUAUAUAUAUUUUGCAUGUGGAAUGAAAUAAGAUUCUAAAAAGGAAGAUAUUCACAGCUAAUUAGCAAAAUAAACAAAAUAAGAAUAAAAUAUAGAAUCUCUUUGUCACGGUCAAAUAAGAUUUUUUUAGUACAACAGUAGUUAUUAAAUGGUAAUUAAACCUUCAAUAUCUUUGACUUUAACAAAGAUACUACAACAAGUUUUUAGGGCAAUUUUUAGAAAAAGAUACGUUGGAUUAGUAGUGCACCUGGAACAUCUACACUAGGUGGAUACCCCUUAGCACCCUCAUCAUUCCCGCUUCAUUAAAUAAUCGUCAGAUCAGAACAAGAGGCAGAAAAGUAACAAGGGCUAGAGAAAAACCCAGUAGUUAUUAUACAAAAGCAUUCAAGUUUAAAGCAAUAGUGCUAGUGCUAUAAUUUUUAUAGAAAUAAGAUCUACUAGUCUAUAAAUGUGUGAGAUCUUUGACAUUUUUCCAAAUCUCCCGAGUAGUUCUAUCUUUGUUCUGGAAGAUCCUGUUGUUUCUCUCUCCAACUAGAUGAUACAUAACGCAGCAGCAAUCAAAUUGAAAAUGAUGAUGCCUUUUUUGCUUUUUUUCAUUUGUGUUGCAUAUGUUUUGAAAGCAAUAGUCCCGAGUAGUUUCGAUGGCAAUUUAGAACUGCUAUCAAAGUUCGUUUUGUCAUCUUACUCUAUAUUGACAUGCAAUUUCAAUUUACAGUACGUGUCAUCACAAAUAUAUGAUGUUAGUACAAAACUGAUAUAUAAAUCUAAAAUUGUUGUACUAAGACAAUGCCAUUUUUUUCAAUACCAUAAUUAUGGAAACAUGAAUCGAACCUUCCGUCUCUAAAAUAGAAAGUAGUUUUGAUUACCAUUGAAUUAAUUAAGUUCAUGUUGACUCAUGUUAAUUACUCUUAAAACAAAUUUUAAAAAUAAUUGAAAGAAGGUUAAGGAAAUAGGAAAUAAAAAACGCCAACCUUAUUUUGGUUUCUUGUUUCUCAUAACUUCUGUUUCUAUUUUUGUUUCUAUUGUUACCAUUUUGCAUUUGGCAAUUUUAUUUUCAUGUUUUUUUCUUUUUCAUAAAAAAAAAAAUUAAUGAAACAAUUGUUUUAUAUCAAAUUUGUUUCUUAGUUCUCUAAAAAAUUUGUUUAGAAAAAGUAAGAGUUAACUUUUAAAAUUAAAUAACUUUAUUAUUGUUAUAUUUGUUUAUUUGUAAUACUUGUAUUUAUUUCAUAAAAGAGCAUCCUAUUUCCUGAAGAGAGUUAACUUUACUACCAACCUAACUUUUGAUAUUUCAGAAUUUCUCCAAUUUAUUAAUCAUCAUUAUCUUUUGAGUGAAAUGAUAUGAUGUACCUCUUGGAAGAUCAAGAUGGAGAGUAAAAUUAUAAGACUAAAAAAUAUUAUUUUCUAAAAACAAUAAAUUACCAUAUGGUGAUUAGUUUUAAUUGAUACGUAUAGUAGAUGGAUAAAGCGUUGCACAUAAAUGUUUUCAAAUUAUAAUAUUACAUACUUAGGGUAAUAAAUCUCAAAACAACCAUAUAUUUAAUUUAAUUUUUCUUUUCAUUUUUGACAAUUUCCUAUUUAUUUUAAAAUAACAAAAAAUAAUAUUCGUAAAACAAAGGCUGCACUUGUACUUGGCUGAUGUAGAAUAAUUGUCUUCUAAAUCUGAAAGCAAUGAUGAAAGCAAAUAAUUCUCUCUAAAGAUUCUUGAGUUCGUUUUAAAAAUUAAAUGUAUCUAGAAAUUCCAACUUUAACUAAUAAUCCUACUCUUUAUUACUAUUAUUAUUUACAACUUUAAGGCUAAUGUUAAGGACAGAUCUUUUAACCCCCCUGAUGCCAAGCUAAUUUUUAGAAACUAAUAGGAGAAAAAAAAAAUGAUAUGCAAACAUUGGAACAUGCAGGACAUGAACUUUUACUUGAUAUAUCUGUUAAAUAAUUAAAGAAUCAACCCAAAUGUUUAAGUUAAUGAACUAUGGUACAUUUUAAUUAUCUCAUUUAUAACAAAAAAAAAAUUACUUGUAUAUGUGUCUAUAUCACUAGACUAAUAGAUGAUAUAAAGUGGGGAAAUUAUGUAAAAAUAUUUGAAUAAGAAAUAUUUCUAUAUUUCCAAAUGCAUAACGUUAUUUCCCUCUAUUUUAGCAAUUAAUUGGAGUUGUUUUGUAAUAAAUACAAGCUAUGUAAUAUGAAGGUAAGAUCUUGCUAACUAUCGAGUUUGGAAGAUUAAUUUUAGUGUAACAUGACAACAAAGAUCAAAAAGGUAAUUCAAAUAAAAAGAUAAAGAGGAAUAUAUAAAAUAUGAUAUAGACUUGGUUAGAAUAAGAUUCUCUCUGUCUUACUCAUUUUAGUAAAAUGGAUGUAGAAUACGGUUCUUUUAUUAUAUUGUUAUUAUAUUGUUGAAAAUUAGAAUUAGAUUCUUUUUAUCUUAUAAUAAUAAUAAUGAAAUAUUACAAACUUUGUUAUUUUUAACUCCGAAGCAACUUUUCUUUUUACCUCACAAAAUAAUACCCAUAUCUUUUAGGUUCCAUACAAAUAUUAUCUACACAAUACAUCAUCUGAAUUUAUUUAUUUAUGAUGUAAUGUAUGUGCGUUACUUUUUGGUCUAGAAAAAUGAUGAAGAUGUUAAAGUUACAUAAAUAGCAAAUUAAAAUGUUGAAAUUAUAUUUAGCAAAAUUCAUCUAACUUUCUCUAAUUCAUUUAAAAUUUUUGUUAUGAUUUAUAAAUAGUUUCAUUUCUUGAUGCUAUUCCUAACAAUUUUUCCUUUAUAUAAUAUAUAAAAUUAUGCAUUAUAUUGUAAUUUUGGGGUAAGGUAUUUUGUUUAUUUUAACAAAAACAUUGCUGUUGCAGGGGUCGUACUUGGGCAAGGGUUUUGAAAACGAUGAUAGGUUGAAUUUUGAGAUUUAUGCCUAAUUUUUAUAAUUUUCUGUAAAAAGCAAUGUUAAAUAUAUAUAUAUAUAUAUAUAUUAUCAUAACUCUCCCAUAAAAUAUUUAGCUUAAAAUUUAUUUAGAGGACAUACAAUUAAAAUAAUUUUAUAGGUUAAUUACUCAUUUAAAACCAUAAAUUAAAUAAACCAUCCAUGGGCGGAUAUAUGUGUACAAUAACUUUCAAAUACAAGAUUAAUUGUUUUGAUCAUGUUCAUUGAUUGGAUUUCUAUUUUGUGUGAUUUGUGAAUUUAUGCUAUUGUCAAUUCAAAGUAUUUGUAGUGUGUGAGUGGAUAGCUUUUAUCCACAUUACACAGAUUCUAGAUUUUUCGACUGAAUUUAUGCUACUCUAUAUAUAUAUAGUCACAAAAACAGAAAGAAGAAAGAAACGUCACUUUUUUAAAAAAAGAGAUUUGUCACGUACGUGACUGUUGGACACUUGGGUAAUUGCAUAAACAUAUCUCUACAAAGCUAAUAUUGCAACGCAGAGCAAUCAACAUCCUCUUUUGAAAGCUUUCUCAAAAUAAAAGAGUUUUAGAAUUACAUAAAUUAUUAUAUUGAAGACGUGAUUCGUUACCUAAUUUAAAAGACAAGUACUGAUCUACAUUUCAUGCUUUAUAUGUAAUCUGAGAAUGUUGAUAUUUUAGAAAUUUUUUGUUAAUUUUUAGAACAGACUCUCUUGUCAGUAUGAUCUAUUUUUUUAUAAAUUUAACAAGGAAUUAAGAAACCCUCUUUGAUUAACAAAACCACAACACUAAAGGAGAAGAAAUUAGAAAGAUCUUACAAUAAGUGGCAAACAAAAUCUUAUUGUAGAUAGCUCUUUCCAUCAUCUUGUUGAUUGAAGACCCUUGGUGUCAAGAAUAAAAAAUUUCAGCUCUAACAAACCAGAAUGGAUGCUCAAACGGCAUCGCUAGACAGAAGUGGGUUUUCUUUCCAAUUUCUCACUUUGGUGACGUUUGAAUUCUCUUGAUCCGCUGCUGCUGCUGCUGCAAGAUUAUUUACAAAAAUAACCUAAUUGAAACUAUCCAUACAAAACUAAUUGAAACUAAGCCAAUAUAUAUAUCUCGUGAACGAAAUUAAAACUCGAAAUAAAAAGAGAAAAGAAGAGAGAAAUGUACAAAGUUUAAUUGAUUGGAUUUUGGAUACCUUACCCAACACAGAAUAGUGCUUAAACAAAAGGGAAAGAGAGAAGUAAUGAUCAUGUGGAAAAGUUUUUCUUUUUCUUUUUUUGGAGUACUACUCAUUUUAAUAUAUAUGUAAAUUAAAGAGAACAAAAUGACGAGAUUUUCUUUACUUCUAAUAGAAAAAAUAUUGUAUAUUGUGUAGCCUUUGCUGCAUCGGAUUAAAAACUAUCACGUAGCACUUUAUAUUAUUUUUAAAAAAUUAUUAAAAUACUGAUUUUUUUUCUAUGUAGAAAAAAUAUUGAUGGAUAGACUUAAAGUUCAAUCCCUAUAUAAAAUGAUGUUUUAGUGGCGAUAUAUGCUUAAGUAUUGAAAUAUCAUCAUUAUCAAUACAUCUAAACUAAGUACUUUGAAAAAAUCCAUUAUCAUUAAAAUGAUAAAUAAUGAAAAUUGGUAACAACUUAUGCAGAUAAAAAUUGACACAAUACAUGCAUAACAUAUAAUUUACCAAGUAUUCAUGCAUACAAUUAAUGAAAGGAGAAUAUAUAUAUAUAUAUAUAUAUAUAUUAUGUUAACGAUGUUUUUUUAACAAAAUACUGGAGGAAGAAGGAUUUGUGGGUGCACUGUAUCUCUAAUUUGAGUGCUUAUAGAAAAAGUGAUUUGAGUUGAAAACUCUUUUUCCCUUACAAAGAAAUCAACAAUAUAAUAUCAUGUUAAAAGUUUCUACUAGUGUUCUAAUCAACAUGAAACAUAUUAAUUAGUUUAUACCAAUAGUUCAAACUGACCCAUAAUAUGUGCUAACAAUCAAGAAGACUAUAAUUUGAUUCUCCUACCUCUGUUUUACUAAGAAGAAAGUUAAAAGUUUAAUUCAAAAAAUAAAGGAAUGGCAAUAUCUUGGCUUAACUUUUUUUUUUUUUUUUUUUUGAGAAAGAUACUUUGGGAUACCAGUAGAACAUCUCUACUAGGUGGACAUUCCUAAACACUCACGUCAAACUCGCUUCAUUAAAAAUAAAGAGAUGAAUACAAGAAGCAGGAGAUACAAAAAGGGCUAGACGGAAGCCCUAUGAACCCAAACAACUAAAAAACGUUUAAGUUUAAAGCAAUAGAACUGGUCGAGUAAUUUUUGAAAAGAGGAGAACGACUUGUCUAGAGACCAGUUGUAGCUCGAAUGUCCUUCCACACAGAGCCAACUAGUUUUUCUUCCCCCUUGAAAAUCUUUUUGUUUCUUUCAUUCCAUAUAUUUUAAAGGGUGGCAGCCACUAAGUGCAGUUUGAUAGUUUGUUUUUUUUUGUUUUACCCUUUGUUUUGUAGAUUUCUUUGCACAGAUAAGUGGAAUUUGAUGGAGAUAGGAGUCGCCCAAGAUAACUUCAACUUUUUUCCAGAGCUUUGAAGAGAAGGGACAAAGGGAGAACAAAUGGUUUCUGUCUUCCUCGGCAGCUUUGCCAAGAAUUCACCAAGAGGGUUUUAUAUUUCAAGUUGGAGUCUUCUUUUAAGCAUACCCAUGAUAUUAAUACACUCAUAAAGGAGAGUCCAUAAACAAGAAUUUACACCUUUUGGGAUGGAUGAUUUUCAUACAAUUGCUAUAAAUUACCCAAUCAUUAUAGUUAACUUCUGCUUGGUUGUUGAGAGGUCUCUCAAGAUGGCCUAUCUCACUGUAUGAAAAGUUUUGCCCAAAUUGUAAUUUAGCUCGAUUUGAUCAAUAUCUAAUUGUUAAUGUUUAUUAGUAAUUAAUUAAGUAAUAACUUUUAGCUUGCUUUUAAUGUAACGAUUGUUUAAAUAAGAUUAGCCUAAAACCCACAUAUUAACUAAUAAUAGAUAUUAGAAGCCUUUUCCAUUUCGCAACAAGAUUACAUAAACACAAGAAGGACCAACUUGCUCAAGCCCAGCCCUUCCUUCCUUUAUUAGUGAAAGUCAAAAGCUUAGGAAACAAAAACAUAAAAUCAUAGGGUGUUGCCAAUUUUAAUUUCUAUCAACGCCUUCUUUUCUGAAACCUUUCGGCAUAAUCGAUGAGUUUGUCAAGCUCGUCUUCUGAGAUGAGGCCGUCACCAUUCUCAUCACAAUAAGCCAUGCCGUAGUGAGCUUUGUAGAAUGGUAUAGAGUGACCCAAGAACCCCAUGGCUUUGAUGAGCUCACUGAUGCUGAGGUAACCGUCUCCGUCGAUGUCGUGCUCACGGAAGAUUUCCUUCAUCUCUUCCCUUGAGAAAUUGAACUUGCUUACACCAGGAAGAGCCAUUUCUUUUGUGGGAAAAAGGAUAUAGCUUCGUGUUUGUUUAUUGCGUUUGGGGUUGUGAGUUUUGAGUGUGUGUGUUUUGGGGUAUUUAUGGAUGUACAAACAAAGGCUUUAUUCUUAUUAUAUCUUAUGAUAUGAUGGUCCCAUUAUAUUCUUACCUUAUGACAACAGUCACAUAUUCCACCUCAAAAACUUGCAUCUGGUCACCUUUCACUCAUUAUUUAAUUUUAUGGUUAACUAAUAAUCUUUUAUCUAGAUAUUAACAAGAGGGGAAUCAAGAAAUGCAUCCAAACAUCUCUAUUGGGUUAAUCAAGAAAUGCGUCUAAACAUCUCUAUUCGGUUAAUGUACCUAUUUUAGUUUUCAGGCUUAAAAUAACUUGUUACCUAAAAUGUCAAUAAAUGUACAAAAUAAUUUGUAUUUGUAUUGUUAGUAUUACUUGAUUGUAACACUUAACUUAUUGUUAUUUUUCUGAAAAACAAAAGUAGGUCAAAAUUUUGUUGACACGUUGAAUUCUGUGUAUGCUUUUUCAUGAAAACUCUAUUGAAAGCUUCUUUUUAAAAAAGAAAAAAGAAAAUCUAAGAUUUAUCCAUUUAGACAUUUAAAAGUAUAUAAUCUUAUAAUAAAUUAAAAGAAAAACUAAAAUAAUAUUUUAACAAAAUUUAUAUAUUUUUAAAAAAAACACGUACAAGUGAUACAUCGUCCAAAUAUCUUCACUAAGUAGACAUCUUCUUAGCAUCUUCAUUUGAUAUGUAUAAAAAAAAGUAAAACGACGACAAAAUAUGAGUUAGAGAUAAGUGCAUUAAAUAAAGAAAAUCAAUAACUAGUGAUGUUAAAAUUAAGUUUAUUUAGUUAAAAUAAUGUAACAUUUUUAUUUAUAGGCAUUUGAAGAACUUUCCUAUAUUUCUUUUACUCCCUGCUCUUGAAAAGAAAGAAUUCAAACUUUAAAUAAAAACCAUAUCAUUUUCCAUCAUUAACUUCCUAUUUUUUAAUUAUUAUUUUUAAAUAGAGCAAAAUAAAAAUUAUAAUAAAAUGUAUCUAUACGUGUCCUUAUCACCAACAAAUGGUAAAAUUUUAUUGUAUUUGUAAUUAUUUUCAACAAUUAUAUUAUUUAAAAUCAUUAUUCUUUUUGAAUUGAAAACUAAAGUAUUGAUUAAAUUUAUUGUAAUAUAUCAGCAACUUUUGAGGUCAUUGUUUCAUCUUUGAUCUCUCUCUAUGGAAGACCUAAAUUUGGUUCAAUUCAAAAUGAUUCUAUCAUUGAUCAUCUGUUCUUCUUUUUCUUCUAAAAAAGGCAUACAACAGUGUGUGAUGACGAAGGACCAAAAUUUAUGCAUACAAUACAGUGUAUAUAUACAUAUAUAGUAUGGGGUUAUUCUAGAAGAAAAAGAGAAUAUAAGUCUUUUUGUUGUGGCAGAAAUUUGGAAUCUGCAUGGGAUGAAAAAGGGCAUCUGCUUCUAUUUAUAUUAUAUAAUAUUCUUUGAAAUGACAAUAAUGGAGGGAAGCAUAAAUUUACAAUACCUCUCAUAAACAUCAAAUAAUUUAUAAUGGGACUCCCAUCUAAUACUUAGGGAAAGGGAAAAUAUUUCUUUACAAAUUAAAAAGCAUUCAUGCAGUUUUGAAAAAUGCAGAUCAAACGGAGGAAGUGCACUUUCUCAAUCUUUCUCUAUUUGCUAUAUUUGAAAAUAUGUUUUUAAAAAAAUUCAUUUAAAACAAUUACUCUAGAAAAAGGUUAUUGUUAGACUGAUGCUUUUGUAUCGAUAGAUUAUCUGUUAGAGUAUUUAAUAAAUAAUAUUGAUAUAAUUACAUUUUGGUAUUAGGUUAAUUAGUGUUAGUUUAAUUUAGGUAAUAUAGCCUAUCCGAGAUCUUAGUUUAUCUAAGCUUAUAUCAUUGUUGUAAUUGUUAUUUUAGAAACCCUAAUGAAGUUUUUCUAUCUCUCGCUCACUAUACUGUCUUUGUCCCUCUAAAAUUCUAGAGUUUUCAUGGCAUCAGAGUCCAAAAUUUUCUAAAACUCAAAACUCUCCCUUUUUUUCUUUGAAGUCGUCAUAGGCUGCAUGUAACAAGAAACUUAAAACUUAAAACCCUCCCUCUACCCAAACUCUCAAAUCACAUCACAGUAGUCUAUCUUCGGAUCUUUCUUCCACCCUUUUUGAAGAAUUGUUAUUUUUAACCUAACAAAGCUUUUACCUUAUCAGGCUAACUUCAUUUUUUAAAACUAAUUUUUUUCAGAAAAAGGAGUUUUUUCAAAAAUAGAAAAAUUUGUAUAUACACUCUAUAAAACAAAACUGCUAAAAGACACACACAAAAAAAAAAAAAUGUAUACUCAAAGUUCUAUAUUUUAUAAUUUCACUUUGAAAAUAUCAAUUUGUCCCUGUUAUAUUGUAAGUAAUUUCUAUUUCACAUUUUUCUAUUACCACUUUCCAAACCCAAUUUCAAAUUUGAAACUUACUAAUUUUUCUUUUGUUGGGCUUUCUUGUAAGGAUAGAAAAAUUAAUGGUAAAAAAAAGUUCUUACGUGGAAUUUCCCUUAAGAUUUGAAAAUUUUGGGAAAAUUUCAUAAAUUCCAACGCUAAACUAUGAACAGUAAAUUUAAAAAAUUGAAAACUUAAAAGAAAACUAUCCUCUUUAAAAAUAAAAAAUAAAAGCCUUAAAUUUAAGUUUAAAACAAUCACUAACUUAAUCUUACUGAGAAAAAUUGAAAUAAAAUUAAAAUAAAGCUUAUGAAAUUGGAAAUUGUUAUUUUAAAAAAAAUGGUAGAAUUAUUAUUUUUUAAGAAAACAUAAAUUUGCAAAUCAAGUGGACAGAUUUGGAAAAGAUACACUGUAGAAUCUACAGCUCGCUAUGUAACGUUAUUGUUCUUGAUCAUAAACAACACAACAAUUCUCGAUCGUCUUCGCUCAAGUUUUGCUUAUAAUAAAAUUAGUCAACCACGCUGUAGUAGCAAAUUUGUUGAUAUCAUAUAUCACUUUACAGUUGAUUUUGUUGUGAUUGGAUAAAAUUUCAUUGCAAGUACAUGUAAAAAUGGCGUAGCAGCAUAGGUUCAGUAAUACUACUCCUUUUUUAUUAUAUAUAAAAUUGAAUGACCCCAUUUUAUAUCUACGUUUGCAUAUUCUUACAUAAGAUCGAAUCCCUAAUGAUCUUCAAAUUUCAAUCCAGAAACCAUCCUUUGUAUUAUGUGAUAAUCAAGAAGCAGCUGUUCAUAUAGCCUCCAACUCAAUCUUCCAUCAAAACUUUGUAAAUUUUAAUAUAUGGGAGAUUAUUUAUAGAUUUCAGGAAAUAUGUAUAAUAUAAAUAAGUUUACGAGUGGAAUUUGUUAACAGAAAAGGGAAAAACAGUAUUGAGGAAAUUUUAAAAACAUUUUUUUCAUUUUUCUUGCAAAGUUUGAGGAGAAACUUCUAUACAUUGUUUCUUUUGUAUUAUUGAUGUUUGGUGCAUGUGAAACAUAUUUUUACCAAUAUAAAGUAUGUGAGGUUCUAAUUUUGUAAAUAUAUACUAAGAAUGUUAACAAUUUUACAAUAAGAGAGUUAUGUUCCAUUAACAUGUGAAAAAGAAAUGAGGUUAAAAAGUCAAACCAAAGUUCCUUUUUGAGCUACUAUAAAAUACUUGAACCAUGUUACGUUUUGUUUCAUCUUCAAACAAUCCAAUCAAACAAACAUAUAUAUAAUUUUAGUUUAAGAAUGUCUGUCUCUCAUCUUCAAGCUUGGGCUAAGAAUGAAGCAAAUGAGUUGAUAAAGAAGUAUGAUAGAAAUGGUGAUGGUGUUCUCACUAAAGAAGAGCUACAAUCUUUCCUUCGUGAUGCUCGUGGUUCAACUCAACUCAAUAAUAUAAGGAAUGUAUCGUCUAGCACAGUCCCAAAAACUAACGAAAAUCUUGCACAGAAGGUUAGCUCAAAUACUUGCAUAACACCAAAAAAGCAGUUGUUGGAUAAAGCUCAAGGUUCGUCGAAACAAUCUAAUGUACCUUUGAGUCGAGAGCAGAUAAAAGAGAUUUUUAAAUAUCAUGACAGCAACAAAGAUGGUUUUCUCAGCAUACGGGAGUUAACAAAAGCUUUCAGCUCUAUGGGAUCAAUUGUCCCAUUUUGCAAAGCUCGAUAUGCUAUGGCUUAUGCUGAUGUCGAUGAAGACGGUCUUGUCAGUGAGGCCGAGCUUGACAAACUCAUUGAUUAUGCCCAUAAAAUCAUCAAGAAGAAAUGAGCUUUCAAGGAUAAUUCUGUGUGUUCUACAUAGAGAAUUAUGUAACUAGAAGUAAAAUAUUAAAAAUAUUAAAAAUAAUUAAAAUAAUUAUUUAAAAUUAAAAUAUCAUAUGUUGGAAUUUUAUUUUUGUUGCAAAAAGCAUUGUAAUUAAAGCUUCUCAUUAUUAAUAAAAUAAAAGAGAUGUAUGUUGGAAUUAAAAAUCUUAAUCUGUUAUCGUUAAGUGUUAAUAUUAAUCUCUCUCUCUUUGUUAAUGAUUAACAAACACAUUAUGAUAAAUAUGGCCUUAAUCUAUGAACAUAAGCUCAAAAUAUUGAACCAAAAUUUAAAAUUUGAUAACUCUUCCCAAUUGAAUUCAUAGUUUAUUUUUUAUUAUAUGUAGAAUGCACUCACAAUAUGAUAUAUUACAUAUUUUUGGAUUUAGGCUGCCCUGUUUUUAAGUUUUAAUUUUUUAGAGUUAGAGGCUGGUUGAGUGGAUGUAAUUUACCUUGUUGUAAUUACUUCUUUUUUUUUCAAUGAAGAUUUGAUUCUCUUUCAACUUGUCUACAACACUAAAUAGGAAAUAGGAUAUAGAAAGGAUUUCAAACUUAUACAUGCAUGAAGCAGAACCUUUUAACAUUUAAAACAUGAUACUUUCCAAAUACUACGUGUAUAUUUCAUAUAAAAUCAUAACUACGUAUAACCAUUAUUCCAAUAUAAAACUGUAAAAAAUUGACCCUUUAAUCUCAAGAAAAGAAAUAGUCAAUUAAUGUUAAAUAGUAUUUAUUUUGACACAAUAUCUCUUUUCUACUUUAAUUGAAAUGACAAAUAUAUUCUAACAAACGUAAAUAAUGACUUCUAAUUUGUUCAAGUAUAUACAGACGUGUGUAUACAUGUGUAAAUAUGUGUGGGUGGGUGUAUAGAAAGAAAGAAGAAAAUCUCCAUCAAAUGUAUACAUUUAAAUAAUAAUAAUAAAAGAAAUAAACUUAAUUAUUGAGGAAUUCAGCCAUGUUCGUGGUGUAAGGAAAUUCCUUCAGAAAGGUAUUAAGGCAAAUGUACCAGCAUUUAAUUUGUACAUAACAAGGGAACAGAAGAUGGGAAUUUAUUCACAUUUCAAGGAAUUUUCCUCACUUUCUUCCUCAAGGGAAAUAAAUACAUAUCUUAUAGAACUUAGUUAUUGACCUAUGAAUUUAAACUACAUAUAUACUUACAGAACCUAAACUCUUGGUGGAUGAAAACACCAGACUGUACAAUAAUAUACUAUGUCCAGUAUGUAACAAAAAUUUCAACUUAGCAGAUAGCAGCAUGAAAUAUGAACUGAUUCUGCCGAUGAAUUUUGAUGGGAAUUAAUGUGGGCAAUCAGCAAUUGAUCCAGGAGUUUAAUAAUCUCUAUCAAUGAAUUUAGCAAGAAAAUCCACCUGGAUCGGAGCAAGUUACACCAACAAGAUUGUUGGAGAAUAUCAGAGAAAUGCUAAAAUUUCAGCAGAUGACAUAACAUAGGAAUUUGUAAAUCAGAAUCUACUAACCGAGCACAUUUAAUCCCCAGAUUCAAGGAUCACCAAUAAUGUAACGAGAAUCUUUUAGGCAGACAACUUUAAAAAUCUACCAAGGGAGGUGGCAGUUUCCAGUAAUUCCAUGAAUUGAAAUCCUCCUGUGAAAACAACCGAAGAAUUGGUUCAAUAAAAGUAAUUCAAGAAUUAGUCCAAGUUCAGUUUGGAGAUUAAGAACCUGCUCGGAUGAGGUCAUGGGAGGAAACAUCCCAUUGACAAGAGUGUGAAGAGAAGUAUAAGAUUUCGUGUCGACACGGCGGUUUACAACAACCUCCCCCUACAAGCAUGAAUUUUUUUAUGAAUUCUGAUGCUACCAAGUAAUAUAAGAUUAUUCUGUUUUUCAACUCAUAUUCAUGAAUCCCCCCCCCUAAAUACCUUGGGAUUAAUAAUGAAAAUUUUUCCUUUUGGAAUUCCAACUUUAAGGUAGCUAAAUUCAUCCGUGUCCCUGUUUCCAAACCCAGCAUAAAAUGGAUUGCAAUCUGGAGGAAAUAGUUCUCGAAUUCUCUAAAAGUUACAAAAAGCAGACUAUGAGCCAUCUUAUUCAGAAGUCAGAUCACAUGUAAACAUAUGAUAUUCAAAAUUUCUAAUUUGAGGGAUUGUAUCCAGAAAAUUGCUUAAUUCCAAGUAAAAAUACAUUUUUAACAGUCAUGCAUCGAAACUGCAGCUCAUCAAAGUAUACUUAUGAAAAUGAAGAAUGUAAAAUUUGUAUAAGUUUCAAUAUCAAAGAAAAAUAUCAACAAAGAUAGAAGAAACUAACCUCCAAGCAAGCAAUCUUGAACUCAUGAGGAGCCCGCCUAAUAACUGUGAAGGAGGAAAUGAGCUCAAAGGUAUUUAUUCACAAAUCCAAGCAUGCCUAGCCUAUUUAUAUGUUUUUCAAUUAUUGCAUUGUUAAGAACUUUUCUCUUCAAAUUAUGCUUACAACCCAUUCUCCACAAUUAGCCAGGAAAACUUCACGCACCCCAAAGCUAGAAUUAGGAGAUAGGUUUUUUUACCAGAAAGCUUAAUUUUAAGUUUUUUUCCAAGGAAAGCAUCCCCUGCUCUAUACCCUCCCUCUACCCCGGGCAUAUGCUUUCAAUAAACCAGGCAUUUAGAAUCACAAGAUGGAUGCAAAUGCCGGAGACUCUUAAAAGGCCAAAGGAUUUGAAGGACUCUGCUAAAGUAUGUGUAUUUCAAGGGAAAAACAUACUGCAUCAAACUACUAAAUAGUUGCAAUUUCCUAGUUUAAAUAUAAACAAUAAAUCUAAGAAUACAUUCAAUAACCAAAACUUUCUCCAGAACAUCUAGCAAUUUACUAAAAUCUAGACUUAGAAGAGAGAAGUGUUGAAUAGUAAUUCUCAAAAGCAUAAAUAGGAGGGAAAAGCUAUAAUAUGUUUCACGUAAUUUCUAACUAAGAGAAGGGAUAAAAGGCAGUAACCUUCACGAUAUAGUGAAGGGAAAAGCCCAUCAGGGGAGAUAACAACAGGCCCCUCUGGUAAAGCCUUCCCAUCCUGCAUUGAUACAAACCAGGUAAAGAUCAAUCGUGGAGUAGUCAAGAAUUUAAGCUCUAAAUAGUGAAUACAUUACUUGUUUAAGGUUGAAAAGAAAUUGACGGGUGUGAUACGCCUGAGAAAUUGAUCGUGCACUGAGAAAAAGCAAUUGGUACCCAUUUUCCUGAAAAGAUAUAAAAAUAAAUUAAAUUGGGAGAGUUCAUUGCAUCAUAAUUCAUCACAUACGAUCGUCCAACUAAUGAGGAUGGGAUAAAAGCUUACCUUAAUAGCAGAAAAUAAAUUUGUGACACCUGUUUGUGACCAAUCCAUUCCAACAAAGGGCAUGAAUUGACCCAGAACAUCCGACCUAAGAAAGUGACAGAAGAGGAAAAAGUAAAGAGAGUGAGCACAAGAGAGGAAAAAAAAGAAGAAAAAAGGGUAAAUAUUUGUUUAAGUCCCGUUUGAUAACUUCUUUUUUAGAAAUUGACUAAGAAUUCAAGUGUUUCUGUAAGGAAGUUGAAAGUCGUAGCUUGGAACUUGAGAGGAAACAAGCAUGAAUUUCAAAUUCAGAAAACUAAAAAUUAAAUCAUCGUCAAAUGAGGUUUGAGCUGUUUAUUGUGCAAGAACAUUUGGCAAAACAAGAAAGAACUCCAUUGACUGAAAAGCUAACGGUACAAAUAAGCCAGACUUGAACAAAUGAUAGAAAAGCAAGGAAAAUUUACUGUGGAAAAUUUCUGUUUUCAUUUUCUUUCUUUAAUGGCAAAAAAAAACAGUGAUUAAUUAAUAAUAGAAUGGAAAGUGAAACAAAUCACCAAUGUAAUAACAAAUAUGGGAAUCCUCCUACACUGCGUACAAACAAAAGAAAUACUAAAAUCAAAAGAUUUGACUUUCUUCAGCUAUAACCAAAAAUGGACUCUAGUUCAAUAGGUUCGACAUCUUCCUAAAAGUCUUCCUUUUCUUUACCACCGGAUGAUCAAAUAACAUGAACAAACUGCUGAACCGUACAUUUCUGAAGAGUACCACUCUUCUUUGACGUCAUUCCACCAAAAAUAAAGUUCAACAGCCACCAAACCAGCCAAGUAGUAAUUCAGGCUUCUCAUCUCUCAGUUACAUACUAUUUUGCAGCCCUAUUUAUACAAUGAACAGAAAGUUCAUCAUCAAAACUCUAUUCUGAAAAGUUUACCCAACCACCAUUGUAUUCUCUGAACAGCCAACAGGCGAAAAGCAUUUAUCUGAUUUCUUAUGAUCUGAAUUUCAAGGAGUCAGUGAUGGUUAAAUUCCUGCAUUGGCAAUACAGUUGGCUUGUGUUUCCCAAGCUUGCAUGAAAACUUCCUACUAACAUAGAAAUUAGGAAGUGUUCAAGAACUACCUAUUCAUGUUUAGUUCACAAAGGUUUCGUUUCUGCAGCUGGAGAAUUUAACCCUAAUAUAAUUUUCCCACAACUGAAUCGCUAAGUGAAUAAUGAAGAAAACUCGUGUACAAGAAACUUGAUUCCAGGGCUUUUUUUCUUCCGAUAAGAAACAAACGUCCAAUAUCAAAGAGAAUGUUAAUUUGAUGGCAGAAGAUUCUAAUGACUCAACCAAGUGCCCUGUUUUCAUUCUGGAAAGGUAUAUAAAGGAGCCAACAACUGGAGCAAAUAAUACCAAACAAGAGUUACUCUGCAUAAAUAAAACUAUGCUCAAAAUCAGUAUAUCACAUCCAAAAUCAUCAGGAUAAAAGAACAUACUUUGUUAUUGUCCCAUCCACAUCUGAUAUCACUACACGAGUAUUCCAUUUCCAUAAAUAAAUCCGGGCAUCAACCUAUUCAGAAACAUAAUCAUAAACAAAUGCAAAUAUGAAGGGAAAUAAAUAAAGAAAUAGGACAGGGGUGGCUGAAUUCUUCUUAUUAUUAUUAUUUAAAAAAAAAAAAACCUUGACCUGCUGCUUUCCAAGCACUGCAGUGUAAAAUGUGAAAGUUAUCGUGUUCCCCCCUUCCUUGAGAUUUAAGGAUGCCAGCUGCUCUGAUGUCGGUGAGAGGGAUUUAACCAUCUGUUUCUCUACCUUGUGCUUAACAAUGCUUGCUUCUCCAUCCAGUCCAUUAUUUCUAUCUGAAUCCUUCUUAAUAUCAAAAUCUAUGCAUCCAUCAACAGCUGAUUGAGUUCCUUUACUAGAAUUAGAUCUUUUAAAAGAGAAAGGCCAAAGUUUCCAAUUUCCAACUGGGUCAACAGUUGCUUCUGCUGGACUACCUGCACAAGUUUUCUCAAUGGGAUCAAGAGCUAUAAUGCGUUUCAUUACGAACAUACAUUCAUGUUUUCACUAAUAAUGAUCCUCAACUAAAUAGAGCACCUCACUCCAUAAAGAAUAACUGCCAAAUUUUAAUCAUAAAGAAAGGAAGCAAUAUAAUUCUUAAAAAACACAAAGGAUCAUUUACAUAAUCUAGAGCCUAAACAGUUACAAAAUUGAUGAAACAGUAAAGGUACUCAAAGAUAAAUUUUUACAAUAAGAUAUCUAAAUUAUCUUACCUGCUCCAGAGUUACGAAUAAUAUUUUUUCGUUCUUCUGAAACCCAUGGUUCUUCAGAUUUUGACCGAUCCUCUGCCACUUUCUCUUCUCCAUCACCACCAGUCUUGGAGCUUGCAUUAUCCUUACAAAAUUCCAUCCAGUUCAAUGGUUUUGAAUUUGAGUCCACAGAAUGGCUUAGAGGAUGAUUGAGCUUACAGACAAUUGAAUUAUCAAUCCUAGCCUGCAUAUUGGGUAGUGAAGCUGCCAGACGCUCAACUUCUUUACUAGAAAUUGGAUGACUUGGAGGAAUUGUGAUGGGACUUGUAAUCCUCUGAUUGAAGAUCUCUUGACUGUCUACAGAACUGCUUGUCACAUAACUUCUAUUUGCAAACCUAUCCUCUUCAUCAAUGCUACUUGGAUAUACUAAUGGAUAAUCUUCUUUAUCAUCGAAAUGUUGACUUUCUGACUCUAUACUCCCAUUAACCUCAGUUUUUGGAACAUCAAUAUCACUGAAAAGGAAUUGUUCAUCAUCUGAAUUUGUUGCCGGCAGUAUAUGACUUUCUUUUGUUGCAACUCUGUUAUCAAUAGAACUCAAAGAAUUUUGGAACUUGCUGGUCACACUUCCAUCUACACUUUUGUCAUCUUGAAAAUCUGAGCAGAAACUUGAACCUGUGCUAUCAAACUUCAAUUCUUUAACGGAACCAGGCAUUUCUUCUGUGGACACAAUUUGAGAAUAGGAAGCUUCAAGUGUUGGUGUU
rnacentral:lncRNA from 1 species